rnacentral:rRNA from 1 species
AACGAACGCUGGCGGCAUGCCUAACACAUGCAAGUCGAACGCGGCCUUCGGGGCUAGUGGCGCACGGGUGCGUAACCCAUGGGAAUCUACACUCAGGUGUGGAAUAACUCCGAGAAAUUGAUGCUAAUCCCGGAUGGUUACGUAAGUCCAAUGGUUUAUCGGCUGAGGAUGAGCCCGCGUAGGAUUAGGUAUUUGGGUAGGUAAAGGGCCACCAAGCCGACGAUCCUUAGCUGGUAUGAGAGGAUGAUCAGACACACCGGACCUGAGACACGGCCAAGACUCGGAAGGGAAGCAGCAGGGGGGAAUAUUGGACAAUGGGCGGAAGCCUGAGCCAGCGAGGCCGCGGGAGUGAUGAAGGCCUUAGGGUUGGAAAGCGCUUUUACCCGGGAUGGUAGUGAGGGUACCGGGUGAAUAAGCUCCGGCUAACUACGUG